rnacentral:rRNA from 1 species
GAUGAACGCUGGCGGCGUGCCUAAUACAUGCAAGUCGAGCGAACAGACGAGGCGCUUGCUCCUCUGACGUUAGCGGAGGGCGGGUGAGUAACACGUGGAUAACCUCCCUAUCAGACUGGGAUAACUUCGGAACACCGGCGAUAAUCCCGGAUGAUCUAUUGCACCGCGUGGGUCGAUGGUAAAAGUCGGUGUUGGUGUCUCUUAUAGCUGCAUCCGCGCCGGAUUAGCUAGUUGGUACGGUAACGGCUUAUGACGGCAACGAUGCGUAGACGACCUGAGAGAGUGGUAGGCGACAUGGGAGCUGAGACAGGGUCCAGACGCCUGCGGGAGGCAGCAGAAGGGAACCGGCCGCAAUGGGCGAGAGCCUGACGGAGCAGCGCCGAGUGAGUGAUGAAGGUCUUCGGUGCGGAAAACUCUGUUAUGAGUGAAGAACAAAUGUGUAAGUAACUAUGCACGUCGUGACGGUACCGAAUCAGAAAGCCACGGCUAACUACGUG